UACGAAGGGGCUAGCGUUGUUCGGAAUCACUGGGCGUAAAGGGCGCGUAGGCGGCUUUAUAAGUCGGGGGUGAAAGCCUGUGGCUCAACCACAGAAUUGCCUUCGAUACUGUAGAGCUUGAGACCGGAAGAGGUAAGUGGAACUGCGAGUGUAGAGGUGAAAUUCGUAGAUAUUCGCAAGAACACCCGUGGCGAAGGCGGUUCUCUGGGCAUGUCC
rnacentral:rRNA from 1 species